rnacentral:rRNA from 1 species
UACAGAGGUCCCGAGCGUUGUUCGGAUUCAUUGGGCGUAAAGGGUGCGUAGGCGGCGGGGAAGGUCUGAUGUGAAAUCCUGGGGCUCAACCCUGGAACUGCAUUGGAUACUUCCUUGCUAGAGUACUGGAGAGGAAACUGGAAUUUACGGUGUAGCAGUGAAAUGCGUAGAGAUCGUAAGGAAGACCAGUGGCGAAGGCGAGUUUCUGGACAGUUCCUGACGCUGAGGCACGAAGGCCAGGGGAGCAAACGGG